GUGGGGAAUAUUGGACAAUGGGGGGAACCCUGAUCCAGCCAUGCCGCGUGUGUGAAGAAGGCCUUUUGGUUGUAAAGCACUUUAAGCGAGGAGGAGGCUACCGAGAUUAAUACUCUUGGAUAGUGGACGUUACUCGCAGAAUAAGCACCGGCUAACUCUGUGCCAGCAGCCGCGGUAAUACAGAGGGUGCAAGCGUUAAUCGGAUUUACUGGGCGUACAGCGCGCGUAGGUGGCCAAUUAAGUCAAAUGUGAAAUCCCAGAGCUUAACUUGGGAAUUUCAUUCGAUACUGGUUGGCUAGAGUAUGGGAGAGGAUGGUAGAAUUCCAGGUGUAGCGAUGAAAUGCGUAGAGAUCUGGAGGAAUACCGAUGGCGAAGGCAGCCAUCUGGCCUAAUACUGACACUGAGGUGCGAAAGCAUGGGGAGCAAACAGGAUUAGAAACCCCGGUAGUCC
rnacentral:rRNA from 1 species